rnacentral:sRNA from 1 species
GGUUUGUAUCCAAUGUCUGGCAUGUGGUUAGGUGCUCACAGAUGCCUGUAGUUGAAUUUCAUGCUAGUAAACUAGUGAAAUGAUUCCCAUGAGGAGGUGAGCCAGUGGUAACGCCCAGAGUCCUGGCUCUAUCUGGUUAGAGGUUCACCCCUGGCACUGUCUCAUGGUAUCCUAGCUGGUCUCCACUUCCUGUCUGGUGCAGCCAGAUUAGUGAGAAACUUUCCCUCUCUACUGCCUUCUCUCCCUGAUUCUUGUCGUGUCCCUACCACCAGUCCCUUAAUAUGUUUGCCCUGUGUUUCCCACUUUACCAAAGGAGUAAGUAGACAGGCAAGUCAGAUUCCAGGUAGAGGAUGUAUAGACUGGCUAGUUCAAGGGUUUGGGGGCAGAAUACCUCUAUUACUUUGUAUGUUUAUAUGGGAGGUUUGCUUAACAAAACAACGAAACUUCUCUAAAAAUCUCUCUCUCUCUCUCUUUUAAAGUUUAAACUCAUAUCCCAGGCAUAUGAAGUGCUUUCAGAUCCAAAGAAAAGGGAUAUUUAUGACCAAGGCGGAGAGCAGGCAAUUAAAGAAGGAGGCUCAGGCAGCCCCAGCUUCUCUUCACCCAUGGACAUCUUUGACAUGUUCUUUGGUGGUGGUGGACGGAUGGCUAGAGAGAGAAGAGGCAAGAAUGUUGUACACCAGUUAUCUGUAACUCUUGAAGAUUUAUAUAAUGGAGUCACGAAGAAAUUGGCCCUCCAGAAAAAUGUAAUUUGUGAGAAAUGUGAAGGUGUUGGUGGGAAGAAGGGAUCGGUGGAGAAGUGCCCGCUGUGCAAGGGGCGGGGGAUGCAGAUCCACAUCCAGCAGAUCGGGCCGGGCAUGGUACAGCAGAUCCAGACCGUGUGCAUUGAGUGCAAGGGCCAGGGUGAGCGCAUCAACCCCAAGGACCGCUGCGAGAGCUGCAGCGGUGCCAAGGUGAUCCGUGAGAAGAAGAUUAUCGAGGUACAUGUUGAAAAAGGUGAGGCUGCGCAGAGCUGGUGCUCCACAGGGGCUGGAAAUGCUGUCUGGGUGCUAAUCGUGGGAUACACAGACUAGAUGUCAGGGAAGUGAGCUGUAUCACAACAUGUAUUGGGUGUGCCAUGAAUUCCUCUUGUUUCCCAGUCAUCUUCUCUUCACCCUUCCUGGCCUUAUUUCCAUUCCAUGUCACCUGCCAAAGUGUUCUUGCUGAGGUUUACUUCCUUGAGAUCACAGACAGCCUCUUUAUGAGGUUUUCUAAUGCUCUGAAAGUCUUACCUGGCCUUGGUUUGGGUUAGUUGCCAUCUCCUGACAUUCUCAAGCCAUUCCUCUCGAAUCUUUCGGAGUGUCUUCCUGGUCGCUUCUGAUGCUCAUUGGCCAUAAGGGCUUGUGUAAGUGUUUAUGGCUGCAUGUUCCCUUUCUCCACAUUUCCCCAUCUGCUGCAUCAGAUUCCUCCAAAUACAGCACCUUCUCCUGCUAUUCAUUUUGCCUGAUGCCAUCAUUUUAAGGCCUUUUUCCAUUUUAGCUGUCCUCCAAGUAUUCCCUGAUGAUUCUGUGGCUUUCCAAUCCAGUAAAUAUAUCCUAGAUCAGAGAUGAGACCAAAAGUAAAAGAAUCAACAGCCAAACCGACACAGGUGUUAUUAAAGGACUUACUGUUUAAACAUGCCUAAACCCUGUGCCUUGAGUGUGCAAGCUGACUUAUUAGAAAAGGACAGGGCUGGCUGACCUGUCCCUAUCAGUCCCAAGUCAUGCACCCUGUGCCCCGGGAAGUGGGCAGUGACCCCAUGCUGGCAGUGUGGCAUCACAGGCCCGGGGCAGGGAGUGCUGUGUAAACCUGGGAUGUAGAGCCACAUUCCCCCUCUCCCUGUGCAUGCUGGGCUUGGCCCCACAUUAUGCCAAGGGAAGCGGGACCUCUUUUCUCAUUGGCCAUCCUAGCCACCCCUCCCUGCCUUGUGCCUGCAUGAGGCUGGGAGACUUGAUGAAUACAGAAUCCCUGAAGGACUCUGUUCCUUCUUCAAAA